rnacentral:rRNA from 1 species
GUCCACGCCGUAAACGAUGAUAACUAGCUGUCCGGGUACUUGGUACUUGGGUGGCGCAGCUAACGCAUUAAGUUAUCCGCCUGGGGAGUACGGUCGCAAGAUUAAAACUCAAAGGAAUUGACGGGGGCCUGCACAAGCGGUGGAGCAUGUGGUUUAAUUCGAAGCAACGCGCAGAACCUUACCAGGUCUUGACAUGGGAAGUAUGGGUUCCGGAGACGGGACCCUUCAGUUCGGCUGGCUUCCACACAGGUGCUGCAUGGCUGUCGU